rnacentral:rRNA from 1 species
GACGAACGCUGGCGGCGUGCUUAACACAUGCAAGUCGAACGGAAAGGCCCUGCUUUUGUGGGGUGCUCGAGUGGCGAACGGGCGAGUAACACGUGAGUAACCUGCCCUUGACUUUGGGAUAACUUCAGGAAACUGGGGCUAAUACCGGAUAGGAGCUCCUGCUGCAUGGUGGGGGUUGGAAAGUUUCGGCGGUUGGGGAUGGACUCGCGGCUUAUCAGCUUGUUGGUGGGGUAGUGGCUUACCAAGGCUUUGACGGGUAGCCGGCCUGAGAGGGUGACCGGCCACCCUGGAGCUGAGACACGGUCAAGAGUACUGCGAGAGGCAGCAGUAUCGUACGGUACGCAGUGGUCGAGAGUAUGACGCAGCAACGCGGAGCGUGAUACGACGGCCUCCCGAUCGUAAUACCGGGUUACGAGUUAUGAACCACUUUGGACGGAGACAAGCACUUAGUGACGGUAACUAAUAAGAAAGCACCGGCUAACUACGUG